rnacentral:misc_RNA from 1 species
GAGGAAGCAGAGCUCGCCGUCGCCGGUAGAAGAAGUGCUCUUCGUCGCCGCCACCGCCACCAAACACCAUGGGUCGUAUGCAUAGUCGCGGCAAGGGAAUCUCUUCAUCGGCGCUGCCGUACAAGCGGACGCCGCCUAGUUGGCUGAAGACCUCCACUCCGGAAGUCGAGGACUCCAUCUGCAAGUUCGCGAAGAAGGGGCUCGCUCCGUCUCAGAUCGGCGUCAUCCUUCGUGACUCCCACGGCAUUGCACAGGUGAAGAGCGUCACAGGCAGCAAGAUUCUGCGUAUCCUCAAGGCUCACGGGCUGGC